UACGUAGGGUGCAAGCGUUAAUCGGAAUUACUGGGCGUAAAGCGUGCGCAGGCGGUUUUGUAAGUCUGUCGUGAAAGCCCCGGGCUCAACCUGGGAAUUGCGAUGGAGACUGCAAGGCUUGAAUCUGGCAGAGGGGGGGUAGAAUUCCACGUGUAGCAGUGAAAUGCGUAGAGAUGUGGAGGAACACCGAUGGCGAAGGCAGCCCCCUGGGUCAAGAUUGCCGCUCAUGCACGAAAGCGUGGGGAGCAAACAGG
rnacentral:rRNA from 1 species